CAGUAGCCGCGGUAAUACAGAGGGUGCAAGCGUUAAUCGGAAUUACUGGGCGUAAAGCGCGCGUAGGUGGUUUGUUAAGUUGGAUGUGAAAUCCCCGGGCUCAACCUGGGAACUGCAUCCAAAACUGGCAAGCUAGAGUAUGGUAGAGGGUGGUGGAAUUUCCUGUGUAGCGGUGAAAUGCGUAGAUAUAGGAAGGAACACCAGUGGCGAAGGCGACCACCUGGACUGAUACUGACACUGAGGUGCGAAAGCGUGGGGAGCAAACAGGAUUAGAGACCCCCGUAGUCCCUGUCUCUUAUAU
rnacentral:rRNA from 1 species